rnacentral:rRNA from 1 species
UGGCUGGGGGUGAAAGGCCAAUCAAACCGGGAGAUAGCUGGUUCUCCCCGAAAGCUAUUUAGGUAGCGCCUCGUGAAUUCAUCUUCGGGGGUAGAGCACUGUUUCGGCUAGGGGGUCAUCCCGACUUACCAACCCGAUGCAAACUACGAAUACCGAAGAAUGUUAUCACGGGAGACACACGGCGGGUGCUAACGUCCGUCGUGAAGAGGGAAACAACCCAGACCGCCAGCUAAGGUCCCAAAGUCAUGGUUAAGUGGGAAACGAUGUGGGAAGGCACAGACAGCCAGGAUGUUGGCUUAGAAGCAGCCAUCAUUUAAAGAAAGCGUAAUAGCUCACUGGUCGAGUCGGCCUGCGCGGAAGAUGUAACGGGGCUAAACCAUGCACCGAAGCUGCGGCAGCGACACUAUGUGUUGUUGGGUAGGGGAGCGUUCUGUAAGCCUGCGAAGGUGACCUGUGAGGGUUGCUGGAGGUAUCAGAAGUGCGAAUGCUGACAUAAGUAACGAUAAAGCGGGUGAAAAGCCCGCUCGCCGGAAGACCAAGGGUUCCUGUCCAACGUUAAUCGGGGCAGGGUGAGUCGACCCCUAAGGCGAGGCCGAAAGGCGUAGUCGAUGGGAAACAGGUUAAUAUUCCUGUACUUGGUGUUACUGCGAAGGGGGGACGGAGAAGGCUAUGUUAGCCGGGCGACGGUUGUCCCGGUUUAAGCAUGUAGGCUGGUUGUCCAGGCAAAUCCGGAUAAUCAAGGCUGAGGUGUGAUGACGAGGCACUACGGUGCUGAAGUAACAAAUGCCCUGCUUCCAGGAAAAGCCUCUAAGCAUCAGGUAACAUCAAAUCGUACCCCAAACCGACACAGGUGGUCAGGUAGAGAAUACCAAGGCGCUUGAGAGAACUCGGGUGAAGGAACUAGGCAAAAUGGUGCCGUAACUUCGGGAGAAGGCACGCUGGUGUGUAGGUGAAGUCCCUGCGGAUGGAGCUGAGACCAGUCGAAGAUACCAGCUGGCUGCAACUGUUUAUUAAAAACACAGCACUGUGCAAACACGAAAGU